AUGUGGGCCGACGAUGACUAUGUGUCGGGCAACAUCGUGGAGAUCGAGCUGUGCAACUUCAUGACCUACCACAACCUUGUCUGCCGCCCCGGCCCGCGCCUCAACCUUGUCGUCGGCCCCAAUGGCUCCGGCAAGAGCUCCCUCGUCUGCGCCAUCAUGCUCGCCCUCCCCACCGACUACGCCAUCCUCGGGCAUGCCGCCAGCUUCAGGGCCUUCGUCAAGCGCAGGGAGGAGUCCGGCCAUCACCAUCGGGAAUUAGAGAUUCAUUCCUUCAUUUCCCUUCCCGCGGGUGCCGCCGUCCAUAAGAAGGACAUCAUCAAAGUCAUCAAGAAGUUUAACAUUCAAAUCAACAACCUCACUCAGUUCUUGCCCCAAGAUGGUGUGUGCGAUUUUGCAAAGCUCCCCCCAUCAAGCUGCUAG
rnacentral:rRNA from 1 species